rnacentral:lncRNA from 1 species
UGACCUUUUAAAUAGUUUAGAAAUCUAAUGUUUAUGUUACAUCAAAUUUUUCAUAGACCUCACCUCUGAAGACACAGAACUUCCUGCCAGCUCCCGAAACACCCUUGGAAGUGGUGGGCAUCAUGACUCACGGUCAGAUGAGGAAGGAGGAGAUGAGAGAACAUGUGGAAUGAAGGAUGGAAAGGAGAACCAACAAGAUGAAGGGAACUGGUAUUAGAAAAUCCUGGAGCAAGCAAAUGAGCCACCAGGAAAAAAAGUCCUACAGGCCCUUACAUGUGUCUCCCUGCUGCUGCUGCUGCUGCU